ensembl:snRNA U6 U6 spliceosomal RNA
GUGCACGCUUCAGCAGCACAUACACUAAAAUUGGAAUGAUACAGAGAAGAUUAGCAUGGCCCCUGCACAAGGAUGACACGCAAAUUCCUGAAGCCUUCCGUAUUUUU